GAAAUGCGAUAAGUAGUGUGAAUUGCAGAAUUCAGUGAAUCAUCGAAUCUUUGAACGCACAUUGCGCCCUUUGGUAUUCCUUAGGGCAUGCCUGUUCGAGCGUCAUCUAAACCUUCAAGCCCUGCUUGGUGUUGGGUGCCUGUCCCGCCUCCGCGCGCGGACUCACCUCAAAUCCAUUGGCGGCCCCCGCGUCGGCCACGAGCGCAGCAGAAACGCGAACUCGUGAGCCCGUCCGGGCGGCUCCCAGAAGCUACACCCACCCAGUUUGACCUCGGAUCAGGUAGGGAUACCCGCUGAACAUAGGC
rnacentral:misc_RNA from 1 species